rnacentral:misc_RNA from 1 species
GUCGGGGGUACCCAGUCGGAGGCUAGCACCCUUUCGACGAAAAUCUCGUUUCUCACUCCUGAAGCGCAUGCCGGUAUCGACGCCAUCCGCAUUCCCGUCUUCGUUCGUUCAAACACCUGCCAGUGUUUGCUUAGGACAGUCGGCGCGAGCGUCCUAAUUGACUGGUUUCAACUUAUUAGUGUGUCUGCAGCGCAUUUUAAAACUGGAUUAACCGGACGUGCCGGUCAUAGGUGACUCGAUGUGCUCAUGUGCGCACGUCGUGUACCCCCUUCUGAUGCGAUCGAUUCUCUUCAACGACCUUCCGUAAUUUCAUCGUCAAAUUUAUCUUCGUCUACGCGAAGCGUGAGCAGGAUGAAGCCAGCGAAGAGCGGAGCAGAGUCGCGUCGAGACGAAGCGGUCGGGAUUUCUGUAAUCCCUUGUACCUGAUUCAAGAGAUAUGGACAAAUCGAAUGGGAAUACUUUUCAGAUUGGUCGCCUGAUAACACAUGUUUACCCGGUUUGUCCGCAGUUGUAAGGU